rnacentral:lncRNA from 1 species
GCUUUGUGUUGAAGGACAGCCAUUGAAGUUCAAAAGGCUUAGCCGAGGUCAAGCUGGCAAUGUCAGGGUCCAGAACUGAAACCCGGUGGAGAGAGGAAGGAUCUUAUGGGUCAAGUGAAGCUGAUUAAAACGUAGAGGAACAUGGACAACAGCACUACACACCUGGAGAUGCAGACAUCCUGACCCACCCAGGAGCUGCCUCGGUCAUGGGCUGACUGCAGAAAAGAUGCUUCAGAUGGAUAGGUAUGAUUGUCACAGAUGCAAGGUGUAGAGCCCUGUAUCCAGCUCUUGUUCUUUCUUGUUUAUUAUUUGUUUUGCUUCCAAGUGAG